CUCUCUCUCUCGAUGGGGCAUGUUUGGUGACAUUUCCGAAAUGGUUUCCACGUUCUCUGAUAAAUUUGUUUUUGAAAGAGGGCAUAACAUCCAUGCUUAUUCCUACAACCACUAUGCAACCAGUGUGGCAAGCAAAAAUUCUUCUCUCGACUGUGAUAAACUUCAAUGCUCUUGAUAAAAAGCCAAUAUGCUGGUGCUUGAGAGAGCCCAAAGCAGCUUUCUAUGGAGGAGGUAUAAUAGAAGAAGGAUUAUCAAAGGAGGGAAACAGGUUGAUUGUGGCACAAAAUAGAACACACCCAUUAGGCAGUUUCUAUCAGAAAGUUCAAGUUGAGCAAGGAAAAAUCUAUAGUUUUUCUGGUUGGGUUCACGUCAGUGAAGUGAGAUUGUAGCAGUUGUCUUUAAACCAGCCAAGGGUGAUCUUACACAUGGUUAUAGCUAAGAGUGGAUGCUGGACUCUACUAAAAGGUGGCAUGGUCGCCAAUUUCUCGAGCCCGGUUGAGAUUUUUUUAGAGGUAUAUUUCGAUCUCUGAAUUUAUCUUCAAGGUUUCGAGGUCUUGUUUUACUCGAUUUUUGUUGAACUUGCUUUUUCUCAAGAAUACGUCAAAAGAAAUAUGGAUUGAAAAUGUCUUCACUUCAGCCAUUCACCAAGCAGUGGAGAUCCCACCAAGACAAAAGCAUUGAUAAGGUUCGCAGAAGCAACGUGAGAUUCCGAGUAACCAAUGCAGAUCAAACUCCAUUGGAAGGUGCUCAAGUGUCUAUCAAGCAAACCAAGUCAGACUUCCCCUUUGGAUGUGCUAGGAACUACCAUAUCUUCAAAGUGCUGACUAUCAAAACUGGUUCUUAUGAAGAUUCAAAGCCACCACUUUCACCAAUGAGAUGAAGUGGUACGCCACUGAGAAUAAGCAGGGCCAAGAAAACUACACCAUAGCAGAUGCCAUGAUGAAAUUUGCUCGAAAGAACAGCAUUUCGGUUAGAGGCCACAACGUGUUCUGGGAUAAUCCGAAGUACCAGGCUUCCUGGGUUAGAUCUCUUUACACCGGUCAACUGUGAAGUGCGGCGGCGAGAAGAAUUAGGUCAGUAGUUUCUAGACACAGUGAAGGCUAAUUGCUUGGGAUGUGAAUGAGAAUCUUCAUUUCAGAUUUUUCGAGGAUGAACUUGGUCAAAAUGCCUCUGCAGAAUUCUACCAUGUAGCUCAACAGCUUGAUCCAAACACAACCAUGUUCCUUAAUGAGUAUAACACAAUUGAAUACAGCAAUGAUAAGACCUCAAGCCCAUUUAACUAUCAUAAGUUAAGGAGAUCUUGUCAGUCCAUGGAAGAAAUGCUAAUCUCUCACUAGGAAUAGGGCUGCAAGGUCACUUUGGUUCUGGUCAACCAAACCUUGCUUACAUGAGAUCUGCUUUAGACAUUUUAGGUACAACAGGACUUCCCAUUUGGCUUACAGAAGUGGAUGUGAAUAAGGGCCCAAAUCAGGCUAUUCACAUCCCGCUGUACAAGGCAUAAUCAUGUUUGCUGGUCCGAAAGCAGCCGGCUUUAAUGUUGCAAUUCUCACGGAUAUCUACUUCCGAAAUACUCCGGCAGGAGAUGUCGUAGACAAGCUGAUUCAAGAGUGGAGCUCUGAGAUUCUGGAGACCAAAACAGACAGUAAAGGAUACAUAGAUGUGUCACUUUUUUAUGGAGAUUAUGAUGUUAGUGUAAAACAACCUUUGACCAACACUUCACCUACUAUGAGUUUAAGGAUCACAAGAGAUAACCCGCAAGCAAAUGUAAAGGUUCUUAUUGAUACGUGAAAUAUCAAUUACGUACACUAUUGAACGAACCACUCAAAAAAGGCUUUUACU